UGAAAGCUCCGGGCUCAACCCGGAGAGGCCGUUCAAUACUGCUGAUCUAGAGGAGGCCAGAGGGGAGUGGAAUUCCUGGUAGUAGCGGUAAAAUGCGCAGAUAUCAGGAAGAACACCAGUGGCGAAGGCGGCUCCCUAGGGCCCACCUGACGCUGAGAGACGACAGCUAGGGGAGCGAACAGGAUUAGAGACCCUGGUAGUCCUAGCCGUAAACGAUGGAUGCUAGGUGUAGGGCCGUAGAGGUUCUGUGCCGGAGCGAACGCGAUAAGCAUCCCGCCUGGGGAGUACGGCCGCAAGGCUAAAACUCAAACGAAUUGACGGGGACCCGCACAAGCAGCGGAGCGUGUGGUUUAAUUCGAUGCUACACGAAGAACCUUACCUGGGUUUGACAUGGACGUGGUAGUGAAGCGAAAGCGGAGCGACCCUUCGGGGAGCGUUCACAGGUGCUGCAUGGCUGUCGUCAGCUCGUGCCGUGAGGUGUCGGGUUAAGUCCCGUAACGAGCGCAACCCUUGCCCUUAGUUACAAGUGUCUAAGGGGACUGCCGGCGGGAAGCCGGAGGAAGGUGGGGAUGACGUCAAGUCAGCAUGGCCCUUAUAUCCAGGGCUACACACACGCUACAAUGGUCGGUACAGAGGGCAGCGAAGCCGCGAGGUGGAGCGAAUCCCAGAAAGCCGGUCGUAGUUCGGAUUGCAGGCUGCAACCCGCCUGCAUGAAG
rnacentral:rRNA from 1 species